GGCCCGAAAGCUCUAGAAUGCACCCCUCUUCCUCCCCGGGGCCUUCCACCUCCGCGAGUUUUAUGACUUAAAAAAGCCCACAGGCUGGUCUGAAGGUCGGAGGCCUAAUUUUAACGCGUUUUCCUCCCUUUAAUUUGAAACGGGAACGCGAAUGACUGUAAAAUGUGGGCACAAUAUUUAAUCUCUCGCCUUUUUAAAGCUUAAUAGUGGAUAAUAGGGGGGCAGUAUCAAGGGAUAAUUUGGGUCCCCACAGUACCAAAGCAUUUAGAAACCUCUGUUUAAUUUAAGGAAUGAGAUAAGUUACUGCUUUUCUAGACUUCCUAGCAUGGGCUGUUGUGCUGGAGAGAACGAGAGCUACGAAGAGACUACAGUGCCUCUGACUUUUUCAUAGGACAGUUGGCCGAGGAAGACAAACAUAAAGAUGAAGUGCUUAAUUCAAGGUCACACAAUGUCGGGGAUGGACCUCCAGAUUUCCUUACUGACCUGCAUUAUCUUGUGGAUACCUGAGUGAAUUCCACACCACCCAUUUUAUAGAUGAAACCACUGAGACAUGGAGCAAUUGACUGAGUAGUCACUGCCCCACCCCUGCCUGGAGCCUCACACAUGACUCGCCUCCUCUCAGUGACCACAGGAAAACAAGCUCAGGGCUCCCACUGAUUGUACAUUAUGGUGAGACGUGGUCUUGUAACACAGUGGUUAAGAAUGUGACUUUGGAGCCAGCCUGC
rnacentral:lncRNA from 1 species